rnacentral:rRNA from 1 species
AUGCACGCUGGCGGCGUGCCUAAUACAUGCAAGUCGAGCGAACAGACGAGGAGCUUGCUCCUUUGACGUUAGCGGCGGACGGGUGAGUAACACGUAGGUAACCUACCUAUAAGACUGGGAUAACUUCGGGAAACCGGAGCUAAUACCGGAUAAUAUUUCGAACCGCAUGGUUCGAUAGUGAAAGAUGGCUUUGCUAUCACUUAUAGAUGGACCUGCGCCGUAUUAGCUAGUUGGUAAGGUAACGGCUUACCAAGGCAACGAUACGUAGCCGACCUGAGAGGGUGAUCGGCCACACUGGAACUGAGACACGGUCCAGACUCCUACGGGAGGCAGCAGUAGGGAAUCUUCCGCAAUGGGCGAAAGCCUGACGGGGCAACGCCGCGUGAGUGAUGAAGGUCUUCGGAUCGUAAAACUCUGUUAUUAGGGAAGAACAAACGUGUAAGUAACUGUGCACGUCUUGACGGUACCUAAUCAGAAAGCCACGGCUAACUACGG